UGUUUGUGGUCUUUCUGUUUCUUGGUGGAAGCUGAAUUAGUGAGGAUGACUCCUGCUCCUGUCAUCUCUAAGCUCCUCACACAUCUUUACCUGCACAUGAGGAAAAUCACUCCUGUAGAAUGCAGAUGUUCAGAGGGAGAUGAUGCCACAUCUGGUCCAGCCGAUGGAAGGUCUUGAAGUUCUCUGACUGGCCUCGACUGAAGAUGAUCCUCUCACUGGAUUUAAGGUUCAGAUGCUCCAGUAACAAAACUCACCAAUGUGCCAACAGGGAAGCUUUAGGUUUAUUAAAUGUUACUAUGAAGGUUUCGCUGUUUUUCUUUGUGAAUGCAAUGUGCUCCAACUGAAACUUGAAUUAGAACUUAGAAGUAAAUCCUUCCAUCUGAAAGGAUUUAGUUGCAUUAAUAACCUCAUAACAUUCUAAUUUUUAUUCCAGUCUUGGUUGGAAAUAGAAUCUCUGUAUUGAUUCAGGUAAAAACUGAACUUCACAGCAUGUUGGAGCAAAACAACCAGAUGAAAACUGUGAUGGUGUUGGAUUGUCAGACCGUAAUGUUGCAGCUCAAAGCAGAUUUUCUAGCUCAGUUCAUUGUGACAUUCAGCUAUGAAUCAACACAGCAGAUGGUGAUCCAUGCUGUGGAAGUCUCACAUCUCCUGAUUUAAUGGAGCUGCUUUGCACUUUUUACACUGUUUAUUCACCAACACUUUAUUUAAUAAAAGUCCCAUCUAGUUUUUAUGAGGAAUGUGAUGUUUUAAUUUCUCUGAAUAACUGCAGUCUAAUGCAACAGCUGGAGUUGUAACAUCUGUCCUGAUAUUGAUCAUGAAGUAUUGAUCAGAAUGAUCAGAUGAGUUUGUUUUUACUGCCAGCUACCAUUCAGUCUGAGAUACUAAGAAUAAAUAAAUAUGCAUAAUGUGGAAAUGAACAGAUUCGAUUUUUAUUUAUUCCUACAGCUCCUGCAGGUUCCAAAGUUCCAGAAUGUGGAGGAAUUUAGUCUCACAAUCACAGACAAUAAAUAUCAUUUGAAAGUUGGGUUAUUGUUGUUUAUCAGCACAAUACAAAAAGGUUAAUGUUAGAAAUAUUCCAGUUAAGACUCUAGAAUAUCAAGAUUUAUGUAAAUUUACCUCAAUAAUAUAAAUGUUCAGGUUAAGAUUGUGCAGUGAUAUUUAUUAUGUAAGUUUAGCUGAUUAAAGUUUAUGACUCUGCACUACAAUAUUAUUUAUUAUUUAAAUUUACACCAUUAUAAUAUUUAGGGUCAGACCCUACAGUAUUGAGGUUAAGAAAUCAAAUAUUCUAUAAAAUGUAAAUACACUGAACUCAUUUGGAUAUAUUUAAGUGAGACUCUACAAUAUUAUUUGACACAAAUCUAUCUAAAUCAAAAUUUUAAUUUUCAUGCCAAACAUUUACUGGUUUAAAUAUUAAAAUCACUCCUUUCUAAUCCUCUGCUGUACGUUCAAAACUGAGGCCUGACAUAGAAACACACAAGUAUCUGAUUGAAGGAACUUCUGCAGAGUCCUGGUUCCAGAACAUGAUGAUAGAAUUAUAGACAAACUUUAACAAAAGCUGCCUGAGAGUUUACAGGUUUUUAUCUUAGAUUUCUUCAGUGAUUUAAUGAGUUAUCAGCAAAAAUCAAGUGUUCAUUUGAUGAACUUCAUUUCCUAAAACAUCCAGAAUUGGAGCUCAUAUCUUUGGCAGCUGUAAAGUUUCUGCUCCUUCAAAGUUCACAACACAAUGAAUAAAUUCCUAAAACACUCUCAAUGCUGGAGAGCGUUUGUGAUGCUGAAGCAGUGAUCAGUUUUUCUGUUUCUUCUCUGGAGAUGCACAAUGAGGGACGUCUGCAGCGACUGAGAAAGAGUCUCACCACAUCCUUACAUGAGGAAGAAGACUUUAUUGAAGACUACAAUGAGAAAAACUAUCAGACAGCAGAUGGCUGCAUUCAAGUCUGUAGCUGCUGAAUUCAUGGAUGAAUCAUCUGGCACUAGAGAAGAAGACCAUCAAACAUCCACGUCAGCUGAUGGAGGUCCAAGAGUCUCACCAAACAAACAACCUACAGAGUGAAGACCUCAAAUCUGAUUGGACGGCCUCCUAUUCAGCCACGUGUGAACAAAUGCCUCUAAGUUGAUUUGUUUUCUAAAAUAAAUCUAGUUUGAGUCCUAA